rnacentral:misc_RNA from 1 species
AAAAAAGAGCGUAGCAGGCAAUGAAAUAGAAAGAAAGUACUAUAUUUAACUUACCGUAACUAUUCUGUAACAUUUAGAAAAUAAGAAUAGUUAGGGUAAGUUAAAAAACGUUUUAUAAUUUUUGUUUUCGAGAUAAAAGCUAAUGAAAAAGAAGAUAAUUAAAGUUUUAGUUAUUUGUGUUGAAAUUAGUAUUGGUUUCACAGCAUUAGGGACAAUUUUGAAAAAGGUUACUCAAUUAAUAAUACGUUAGCAAAUCCGUAAAAUUCAUUAGAUAGAAACUUAAAUAAUCUUUUAUUAAAAUGAGGAUAGAACUUUUAUCAGUAAAAGCAUUGUAUAAUAAAAAAAGAGUUUAACUAACAAUUAGUGGUUUUGCUCUAAGAAAUAAAUAUUAGAAUUACUAAUGCCGAUAUAAAUUCUUUAAGGAUGGUUAGUUUUUUUCAUAGCCUUAGAAUAGUUGCAAAAUUUCAUAUAGGACAAUGAAAAAUAAUUGAAUAUAAGAAAACUAAUGGCUAGGAAACUCCAAAAUUCUUGAACGACAAUGGGGGGUAUUUUUUAAAUUAUCUAUAUCCUUUUAAUGAUAAUAUAUCGCAAAAAGAAAGUGAUUAUUACUGUUAAUCAUGUUGUAUUAAAAAAGCUUGCCUAAUUUAGAAAUAAAUUUAUUUCUAAAUAAUGUUACAGAAAAUACUACUCCACCUAAACAUCCGAUUAAGCUUAUUAAAAAAAAUAGUUGAAGAGUACUUUCAAAUUUGUAAACACUAGAAAUGAUUUUUAACAUUAGUAAGCUUAAAAUAGU